rnacentral:rRNA from 1 species
CACGGGGGGAGCAAGCGUUGUUCGGAAUUACUGGGCGUAAAGGGCUCGUAGGUGGCCAACUAAGUCAGACGUGAAAUCCCUCGGCUUAACCGGGGAACUGCGUCUGAUACUGGAUGGCUUGAGUUCGGGAGAGGGAUGCGGAAUUCCAGGUGUAGCGGUGAAAUGCGUAGAUAUCUGGAGGAACACCGGUGGCGAAGGCGGCAUCCUGGACCGACACUGACACUGAGGAGCGAAAGCCAGGGGAGCAAACGGG